rnacentral:rRNA from 1 species
UACAGAGGGGGCAAGCGUUAUUCGGAAUUAUUGGGCGUAAAGGGCGCGUAGGCGGCUUUGCAAGUGGCGGGUGAAAUCCCUCGGCUUAACCGAGGAACUGCCUGCCAGACUGUGAGGCUUGAGACCGGGAGAGGUGAGUGGAAUUCCCAGUGUAGCGGUGAAAUGCGUAGAUAUUGGGAGGAACACCAGUGGCGAAGGCGGCUUUCUGGUCUGUAACUGACGCUGAGGCGCGAAAGCGUGGGGAGCAAACAGGG